CAGAGGACCUGCUCCAUGUCACCUUCACUGAGUGGCAGAGCUGACAAUCACACCCUGGUCUGCUGAGCCUGGCCGCCGAGCCUGGGACUCCCAUGUUUGCCUCACCCAUACCCUUCCAGGUGCCUGGGGAAUGUGGGGCUCUGGCCUGAUGGCUGUUCUUGUUAUUAUGGUCUGUUGGUUUGUUUAUGCUCUACUUCAUUCUCGAAAGGAUUGAAGGAGGCCUUCAAGGAAAGAGGAAGACAAGGGGAAGAAUAAGUACACAAAAUAGAUUUGGAAAUAAGCUGAACACUAAUUGUAUCCCUUUUGGCUCUGAGCUUCCCGGCAGCCCAUGGAUUCAGGGAGCCUGGUCAGCUCUGCCAUUCCCAGGGCCAGUGACAAGCAGGGAAGCAGGGAUGUUUCAGAGAAAGCCCCACAUUUCUUGAGCUCCCAAGGGCUUCCUGAAGAAGCCACUGGGGUGAGGAGCCAGGGCGGAGGGUGUCAUUUGGGGAAAUCCAGGGAUGGGGUCCUUGGGGCUGGUGCUCAGCAGGCCAAAGGCUAGAGUCCCAAUUAGGUACAGUCCUGUGGGGCAUGAUGAGGCUCAGGGCCCCUCUCGCCAUGUGUCAGGGCACAUCUCCCUUCUUUGGCCAUCUCUCUCCACCCUGAGUUUCCUGGCCCUUCCUCACCCACCCUUUCUACCCUCCCUGGCUUCCUCUCCCCAAGGGCCCAGGCAUCCUCCUCUCUGAAGACGACUCCCUGUAUGAGGGCACCUUCACCAGGGACCUGACCCUCAUGGGGAAGGGCAAGGUCACCUUCCCCAAUGGCUUCACCCUGGAGGGCUCGUUCGGCAGUGGGGCAGGGAGAGGACUGCACACACAGGGUGUGCUGGACACGGCUGCCCUCCCACCAGACCCGAGCAGUACCUGCAAGAGGAUUCCAUAUGCUUCUGUCUGUCUUCUCG
rnacentral:lncRNA from 1 species